rnacentral:rRNA from 1 species
GAAUCCCGUCUUUGGCACGGAAACCCCAGGGCUUUUGUGAUGCGCUCUCGAAGAGUCGAGUUGUUUGGGAAUGCAGCUCAAAAUGGGUGGUGAACUCCAUCUAAAGCUAAAUAUUGGCGAGAGACCGAUAGCGAACAAGUACCGUGAGGGAAAGAUGAAAAGCACUUUGGAAAGAGAGUGAAACAGUACGUGAAAUUGUUGAAAGGGAAACGCUUGAAGUCAGUCGCGUCGACCGAGACUCAGCCUUGCCCUUGGCUUGGUGUACUUCUCGGCUGACGGGUCAGCAUCAAUUUUGCCCCUUGGAUAAUGGCGAGGGAAAUGUGACACCUUUACGGUGUGUUAUAGUCUCUUGUCGCAUGCAAGGGGGUUGGGAUUGAGGAACUCAGCACGCACCUUUGGGUGUCGGGGCUUUGCCCACGAUACGUGCUUAGGAUGUUGGCGUAAUGGCUUUAAACGACCCGUCUUGAAACACGGACCAAGGAGUCUAACAUGCCUGCGAGUGUUCGGGUGGAAAACUCGUGCGCGCAAUGAAAGUGAAAGUUGGGACCUCUGUCGUGGAGGGCACCGACGCCCGGACCAGACCUUCUGUGACGGCUCUGCGGUAAAGCAUGUAUGUUAGGACCCGAAAGGUGGUGAACUAUGCCUGAAUAGGGUGAAGCCAGAGGAAACUCUGGUGGAGGCUCGUAGCGAUUCUGACGUGCAAAUCGAUCGUCAAAUUUGGGUAUAGGGGCGAAAGACUAAUCGAACCAUCUAGUAGCUGGUUCCUGCC